GGGGAAUAUUGGUCAAUGGGCGAGAGCCUGAACCAGCCAAGUCGCGUGAAGGAAGAAGGUUCUAUGGAUUGUAAACUUCUUUUGUAAGGGAAUAAAAAGAGUUACGUGUAACUUAUUGUAUGUACUUUACGAAUAAGGAUCGGCUAACUCCGUGCCAGCAGCCGCGGUAAUACGGAGGAUCCAAGCGUUAUCCGGAUUUAUUGGGUUUAAAGGGUGCGUAGGCGGUUUGAUAAGUCAGUGGUGAAAGUUUGCAGCUCAACUGUAAAAUUGCCAUUGAAACUGUCGAACUUGAGUGCAAAUGAGGUAGGCGGAAUGUGUUGUGUAGCGGUGAAAUGCUUAGAUAUAACACAGAACACCAAUUGCGAAGGCAGCUUACUGGGAUGCAACUGACGCUGAGGCACGAAAGCGUGGGGAUCAAAC
rnacentral:rRNA from 1 species